UACGAAGGGUGCAAGCGUUACUCGGAAUUACUGGGCGUAAAGCGUGCGUAGGUGGUUAUUUAAGUCCGUUGUGAAAGCCCUGGGCUCAACCUGGGAACUGCAGUGGAUACUGGAUGACUAGAAUGUGGUAGAGGGUAGCGGAAUUCCUGGUGUAGCAGUGAAAUGCGUAGAGAUCAGGAGGAACAUCCAUGGCGAAGGCAGCUACCUGGACCAACAUUGACACUGAGGCACGAAAGCGUGGGGAGCAAACAGG
rnacentral:rRNA from 1 species